GUGCGCCGCGCGCGGCGGCUGUGCUACUCUCGGCCGUUGGAGGGCCUGCUCCUGCCGGAGGAAGGAGGAUCCCGAGUGCCACGUUGCGAGUUCUUGUGGUGUCCGCCUCCUUCCGGACUCACCACCUCAGGAGAUUUGUGUGAUGCAUCAACCUACCACGUGGAACAGAGCUGUGGAGGAAUGUGAUGACCCCCCAAACAGAGAGUCUAUGCUGAUAGCCAUCAUCAAUGAAAACUGAAAGAUCUGCUGUGGCAACUCUGGGUCUGUAACACCAGAGGGUCAACAUUCCUAACCCCUCCCCUAUGACCCACUG
rnacentral:lncRNA from 1 species